rnacentral:misc_RNA from 1 species
UAAUAUAUUAUGAAAAUAAUUAUAAGUUAAAAUAGGUAUAAUAAUAGUCGAACUGAGCUUGAGCUUACGAACUUAACUUGAACUCGAACUCAAAUUUAUUGAUAUUGCGUUCGAGUUUGUUUUAAUAAGCUUAUCUAGUUUGACACGAGCCGAGUUCGAGCUUAACUCAUUAAUAUAAUAAACAAACUUAAAACGAGCUCGAAUUUAACAUUUUUCAAACGAGCCAAGCUCAAGUUCAAGCCUGAAUCAAUAUUAACGAGCCAAGCAUAAACAAGCCAAAGCUCAGCUCGGCGUGAUACGGUUCAUUCACAAAUAACACAUAAAGUUAGUAGAAAUUGACAUCAAAUUGGAGAACCCUUGAUUGGGCAUAAAAUUGGAAACAAAGGGCUGUAAAUUUAAUGACAAAGCCAUGUUUCACCUUUAAUUUUUGUCUCUCUUUUAA